AUUGAACGCUGGCGGCAGGCCUAACACAUGCAAGUCGAGCGGUUGAAGGAAGCUUGCUUCCUGAUUCAGCGGCGGACGGGUGAGUAAUGCCUAGGAAUCUGCCUGGUAGUGGGGGACAACGUUUCGAAAGGAACGCUAAUACCGCAUACGUCCUACGGGAGAAAGCAGGGGACCUUCGGGCCUUGCGCUAUCAGAUGAGCCUAGGUCGGAUUAGCUAGUUGGUGAGGUAAUGGCUCACCAAGGCGACGAUCCGUAACUGGUCUGAGAGGAUGAUCAGUCACACUGGAACUGAGACACGGUCCAGACUCC
rnacentral:rRNA from 1 species